AACCUAGCCGGCCCACGAGGGCCCAUGAAACCGGCCAUGCCCAUGCCCCCAACCCUAGCCGCCACUACCCUGCUCCCUCUCCCAAGCCGCCGCCACUCCUUCUCCCUCCCCCUUUCUCUCUCUUCUCUCUCUAUCGCCCACCUCUCUCCACCUCCUCUCCCCAAGCCGCGCCACCAGGAGUUCGCCCCGGAGGAGGCCCAGCCCGGAGGCAGUGCGGCGGCAUGGCUGGUGGUGGUGGAGGACCGGGGCCGAGGCGGGUGAAGGCGGGGAGCCGCCGCCGUGGGUCAAGGAGGCGCUCGGCUACAACCAGCAGGCGCUCACCAUGCUCGGCGUCGGCAACGACAUCGGCGAGAACGUCGCCAUGCCUUAUUGGGUGACAGACAAUUGAAAAAGAGAAUUGUUCUUUUUUAUGGGCGAAGUGUUGAAGAUGGCUUUGGUGAAGGAAAUGUCUUGUUAGCAUCAAGUAAGUGGCGACAUCACAACCCCUACAAGCUUGUGCCUUAAAACACGAGGAUACAUAAGAAGCUGGAGUGCUUUUGUGAAGGCUUUUGCGAAUCACUUGAAGCGUUAGGACUUUUGUGAAUGAUUUUGUAAAGUGUUUGCAAAUAUGUGCAAAACAUAAUAACAUAUGUAGGUUUUGUGAAUGAUUUUGUUGUGGUGCUUGUUCAUGGUUUAUGUGAUGUGGAUUUAUUAUUGUGCAAUACUAAUUAAAUUUGUAUAUCUAUUUGAUUAUAUAUAACAGUUGUUUAAUGCUAA